rnacentral:lncRNA from 1 species
UUCAUCCCAGAUAACAUCUUCAAACUAGGGUAUCAGAAGAGAAGAACACAGUAUUUGGUUAAGUAUUUUGACAAAAGGAGAGAAGGGACCACCCUACAUUAGGAGAGGACACACAUUUCAAAUAGCAGGAAAAGGCGAGUAACAAAACAAUAAUCUUAGACUUUGAAUGGAUAGAGGCAUACAUGGACUUAUAGCCUGCUGGAGUAGACGUAUAAGUGACUAUAAAAAAUAAGAACCUAAAGCUUGUGGUCAUACUCAUCUAUAAAGUGAAAGCCAGAAAUGUCCUAAUAUCUAAUAGAAGAAAAGCCUUGGUAGGAGAGAACCUAUUUGAGGUUUUCCUACAUUUGUUUAAUUACUUAAGAGGAUUUCCUAAAGCAACCAAAUAGCUUUUCAUUCACACCAUACUCCUUUAGUCUUCUUGCUCCUCAUGUUUACCCAUUGUCUACUUGGAAAUUCAGAGAUGAUUAAGUCUUCCAUUUUUGCUGCCACAUUUACUAUAUAAACAUUACUUAUUCAACCUAAAAGUCAAGAAAAACCUCAACUAUGGACAACUUCACUUUUUUUUUUCGGGAGGUAUUCAUUAGAAUCAAGUGAUUGGGGAGAAAGUUUGUGUUUUUUUGUUUUUUUGGCUGUUAGUCUUUACAAGUUAUUUAUUGACAUUUUUUUCCUCCCUUCUGAUAGAUAACUCUUCAGAUGACAUCUAAGAUGUUACAACUUUUGUGAGAAUUUUGGAAGUCAUUCUUUCUCUAUAUUCCAUCAUCAACUUAUUUUAAAAAGCAGUCUGCCAGAUUUGCUUAGACCAUUAAGCAUGACUCCAGUGGUCCAAGUACAUCUCUACAAGAGGCCCCACAAACCAAGACUUCUGAAAGUUUUGUUUUCCUCCUAACAAGAGGGUCAGAUUGGCUGUAUUUUACUUUAGAGGCUAAAGAUGUUAUAAACAACUAAGAAAGAAAAUGUAUCCAGCGACUGUGCAUGACACAUUGUACAGUAAAAGUAGUCACAGCAAAUAACUAUGCCCUGAGGCACUUUGAACAUAAAAAAUGAGUGAUCACAUGCAGAAUUUCUGACUGUUAGAGAUAAAAUUAGCAAAAAACCACUACUUGACCAACGGUCAUUUUC